rnacentral:ncRNA from 3 species
AAAUUGAAGAGUUUGAUCAUGGCUCAGAUUGAACGCUGGCGGCAGGCCUAACACAUGCAAGUCGAGCGGAAACGAGUU